rnacentral:rRNA from 1 species
UACGGGGGGGGCAAGCGUUGUUCGGAAUUACUGGGCGUAAAGGGUUCGUAGGUGGCCAACUAAGUCAGACGUGAAAUCCCUCAGCUUAACUGGGGAACUGCGUCUGAUACUGGUUGGCUUGAGUGCAGGAGAGGAAUGCGGAAUUCCAGGUGUAGCGGUGAAAUGCGUAGAUAUCGGGAGGAACACCAGUGGCGAAGGCGACUACCUGGCCUGUUCUUGACGCUGAGGCGCGAAAGCUAGGGGAGCAAACGGG